rnacentral:rRNA from 1 species
UCUGGUGUCUAUAUCUGUUAGGGCUACACCCGUUCCCAUUCCGAACACGACGGUUAAGCCUAAUGGAGCCCAUGAUACUGCAGGGGAAGCCCUGUGGGAAAGUAGGUUGUCGCCAGUUA